AAUUUUGCUUUAAUUUCUCUGAUUUGCGCAUGUGUAAUUGCGAUAACUAUAGUAAUUUGCGUGCAAGAUUGCUGUGUUAUGGUGAGAUUAGGUUAAUUUGAUGCUAAAUUUAGUAGCUUUAGUUGAAUUGAUUUACUUGUUAAUUGAGCAAUUACGCGAAGUGAAGUUAGGGUAGAUUGAUUGUGAUUUUUUAGGGGUUGAUUGUUUGUGAUUAUGUGAAUUGUUUUGGUUGAUUAGAUGGAUAGAUGUGAUAAUUGCGGUUGAUUUUUAGGUGUUGAUUGUUUGCAAUUAUGUGUUUGAUAUGUAGGUAACAUGUCUACCUUUUUUGAUAAUUUUACCAUUCAGUUCUGGCAUGGGGGAAAAUUCAAAAUUGUUGGAAAUGGGGAGUUGGUUUACUAUGGUGGUAUGGGUAGGAAUUUAUUUGUGGACCCUAAUAUACUAUAUUAUUGGGAGUUACUUGAAUUUGCAGAGAAGUGUGGGUAUGCGUGUGUGGUUGGGAUGUUUUAUCUAAUCUUAGGAAUGAGUCUGCAAGAUGGUAUUAGGAGAAUAGAGGGUAUACAAAAGUGUUGGAGUUGAUAGAGUUAACUAAAAAAUUGAGGGCUCUUGAAAUUUACUUAUUGCAUCAUGAGGAGGGCCCUAUUUUGACAUGUAAAGAUGCUGAUUCUGAGAGUGAAGGGAGGGAAGAAGUAGUGCUUGAUAAAGGUGUUGAAAAUCACCUCAGAUUGACCUCCAACAUGUUGAGAACACAUCACACAUUGAAGACCUCACACAAUCAGAAACUCAACCAGUCAAUAAACCAAAAAGUAAUGUUAGAAAAAAAUGACCCAAGAAAGGGACCACCCACAAAAAUCAUGCAAGCCAUUAGGAAAAGUCCUAGAAUAAAACAAAAACAAGCCUCCACAUCAAGUGCAAAUAAUGCUUCCACAUCAGCACAAGUUGCUUUAAGUGACCCAACUACCACAACUACCAAGGUCAAAACAAGCACUUAUAGGAUUCCCUCAUCCUCUUUGACAGAUGUAACUACCACACUUAAACCCUUAAAACCUGAUCUGCUUGUCAAACCAAGUGAGCUCCCCAUUCCAAAACCACCUCCGUGCCUGAAAAAACCACUUCUUUGCCUAACACAGAAACUGUUGUAAAUGAGGAGUAUGACUGGAGGAUAACAGGGGUGACAGUCCUUUGAGAUGGAGUGAGGUUAUAGGUUACAGUGAUUAUAGUGAUAACAGUGAUCCUGAAUAUGAGCCAGAGUUUGAAGGAGAUGAGGAUGUAGAUGUGGGGGGAGAACCAGCGGGGGAGAAUGAUGGCAGAUUAAGUGAUGUAGAUAUUGAAACUGAAGCAAAUGAGGUGAGUGAACAAGCUGAAGGGACUGAUUUCAUUGUUAAUAAGUCUGAUGAAAGUGAUGAGGAUUUAGGGAGCAAGAGAGAGGGUGAAGACAGUGAACCAUAAGUGUAUUGAGAUAGCUCAACAACUUCAGAAGGAAGCUAGUGAAGGGAGGUUAGGGUUGCAAACAAAACAUAAAAAACCACCCACUGUAGUUGCCACAGCUGCAGAAGUAGGUCAGGCAAGUGACUAUGAGGACAGUGAUGAGGAGGCUCACUCACCAAUUUAGAGUGGAGAUGAAGCAUAAGGAAGUGGUAGAGUGAAGAAGGGUGUGUUAGUUAGAGGUGAUACUGACUUUUCCUCAUUUGUUUGGAAAGUAGGGCAGAGGUUUGCCAACAGAUCUGAGUUUAGAGAAGUUGUUAGCAAAUAUGCAGUGAUGCAAGGUAGGGAUGUGAGGUAUGUGAUAAGUAAUAAGAAGAAAGAUUAAUUGGGUGUGAAGUGUGUUGGAGAGUGCCGUUUUUAUCUGUAUUGCUUAAUGCACACAAGAGACAAAACCUGGUUGGUGAAGACAGUGGUGGACUCUCAUACAUGCCAUAGAAGUAUGAAUAGAAACAGGCAAUUGAAAAGCACAUGGCUUGCUAGGCAGCAGCUGGAAGUCUUCAAAGAAAGGCCACAUUGGCCAGUAAAGGAAAUCAUAGAAACAGUUAGAAGAGCCUAUAGAGUAAUCAUCAAGAGAGACUUUGCAUACAAGGUUAAAUACCAUGCCCAUAAGUUGCUUCAUGGAAGUAUAAAGGACCAUUACAUGAAGAUUGAGAGAUAUGUACAAGCUCUGAAGAUUGCAAGUCCUAACACAACCUUGGAUAUGAUGGUAGAUGCAAGUCCAAAUUACUUAGUCCCAGUUUUCAAGAGAAUGUUUGUGUGCUUUGAUGGAGUGAAAGAGGAAUGGAAGGCAGGUUGUAGAAGAGUCAUUUGUGUUGAUACAGCUUUCUUGAAGACAUUUCUUGGGGGCCAAAUAAUGACAGCAGUGGGUAGAGAUCCUAAUAAUCAAAUGUACCCUAUUUCAUGGGCUGCAGUUGAAGGAGAGAACAACUUGUCUUGGGUUUGGUUCUUCACCCAUCUGUAAUCUUGUCUGGAAUUAGGAGAAGGAGCUGAUUUUGUUGUACUUUCUGAUGAACACAAGGAAAUACUUCAUGCAGUUGCUGUUGUGCUCCCAAAAGUAGAGCGUAGACACUGUGCAAGGCAUAUCUUUGCCUUCUGGCACAUAACAUACAAGGGUGAUGAGAUGAAGCUUCAAUUUUGAAAGAUUGCUAAGUGCUACAAUUAUGCACAGUACAAUGAAGCUUUGGAUGAGUUGAAUGAAUUAAACCCUGAGGCUGCACUUGCAUUCAGGAGGUUCCUGUUGGAGUUGGAGUGGUUUUUAGCUCAAAUGAAACUCCAUUGCUGCAGGGUACUACAAGCCUCUGCAUUGGAACUCAGUCAAGCCAAACUUCCACUCUUGAUACUCAUCAAACCUGAUUUGCUAUAGUGUGACCUGUGUUAUGAACAGCAGGGCCUUUUUUUUUGUUAAUACUUGCAGCAUCUAUCUGUAAUGAAUUAAUUAUGUUUAUGUUUAUGUUUUGGGUAAGAUAAUUUGUGGGUGGACAAGUCUUUUUCAUUAUCUAAUCAUGUGUACCUAGUCCAAACAAUUGGUACUCACUGAACAAUAUUUAUAGAUGACAUGUACUUCUUGUUGCUAAUUACAUAAUUAUCUUGUUUGGUAUACAAUAGAUAAUGAAAUCAUGCAUGUCAUUCAUUAAAAGUGAAAGAAAAAAACAAUGUAUUCUUCAAACACAACCCAUAAUUACUACAUUAAUAACAUAUUACAACUUGUUCAUAACAUCAAGUACUUGACAGACAAGAGUGUUGCAACAAAGAAGAUCCAUAAAAAUACUAGCACUAUAACCAAUUUUUUUUCAUUAAGCCUUCAUUAACUCAAUCCGGAUACAUAAUAUUUCACUCUUCAUCUCUUGUACA